GAUGAAGAACGUAGCGAAAUGCGAUAAGUAAUGUGAAUUGCAGAAUUCAGUGAAUCAUCGAAUCUUUGAACGCACCUUGCGCUCCUUGGUAUUCCGAGGAGCAUGCCUGUUUGAGUGUCAUUAAAUUCUCAAUCUUUACAACUUUGUGUUGUUCAGAUUGGAUGUGGGGGUUUCGUUGUGUGGAAUUCAAUUCCUCACUCCCCUUAAAUGCAUUAGCUGGAAUGCCUCUGCAUCUCUGACUAUCAGUGUGAUAAUUAUCUAUACUGUAGUUGUUGCAUGAGGGUAUCUGCUUCAUCAAUCGUCGCAAGACAAAUGACCAUCUUGACCUCAAAUCAGGUAGGACUACCCGCUGAACUUAAGCAUAUCAAUAAGCGGGAGGA
rnacentral:misc_RNA from 1 species